AUUGAACGCUGGCGGCAUGCCUUACACAUGCAAGUCGAACGGCAGCACGGGAGCAAUCCUGGUGGCGAGUGGCGAACGGGUGAGUAAUGUAUCGGAACGUGCCCAGUCGUGGGGGAUAACGUAGCGAAAGCUACGCUAAUACCGCAUACGAUCUAUGGAUGAAGGCGGGGGACCGUAAGGCCUCGCGCGAUUGGAGCGGCCGAUAUCAGAUUAGGUAGUUGGUGGGGUAAAGGCCUACCAAGCCGACGAUCUGUAGCUGGUCUGAGAGGACGACCAGCCACACUGGGACUGAGACACGGCUCAGACUCCUACGGGAGGCAGCAGUGGGGAAUUUUGGACAAUGGGCGCAAGCCUGAUCCAGCAAUGCCGCGUGCAGGAUGAAGGCCUUCGGGUUGUAAACUGCUUUUGUACGGAGCGAAAAGGCUCUCUCUAAUACAGGGGGCUCAUGACGGUACCGUAAGAAUAAGCACCGGCUAACUACGUGCCAGCAGCCGCGGUAACAC
rnacentral:rRNA from 1 species